rnacentral:rRNA from 1 species
AACAAACGCUGGCGGCGUGCCUAACACAUGCAAGUCGUACGAGAAAGUCGGCUUCGGCCGAUGAGUAAAGUGGCGCACGGGUGAGUAACGCGUGGAUAAUCUACCCUUUAGCUGGGAAUAACUCGUCGAAAGGUGAGCUAAUACCGGAUACGUUUAUCUUGAUGCGAAUGAUGAUAAAGAAAGGUGGCCUCUUCAUGAAAGCUACUGUGCAGGGAUGAGCUUGCGUACCAUUAGCUAGUUGGUAGGGUAAUGGCCUACCAAGGCGACGAUGGUUAGCGGGUCUGAGAGGAUGAUCCGCCACACUGGAACUGGAACACGGACCAGACACCUACGGGAGGCUG